CAGUAGCCGCGGGAAUACGGAGGGUGCAAGCGUUAAUCGGAAUUACUGGGCGUAAAGCGCACGCAGGCGGUUUGUUAAGUCAGAUGUGAAAUCCCCGAGCUUAACUUGGGAACUGCAUUUGAAACUGGCAAGCUAGAGUCUUGUAGAGGGGGGUAGAAUUCCAGGUGUAGCGGUGAAAUGCGUAGAGAUCUGGAGGAAUACCGGUGGCGAAGGCGGCCCCCUGGACAAAGACUAACGCUCAGGUGUGAAAGCGUGGGGAGCAAACAGGAUUAGAUACCCCUGUAGUCCCUGUCUCUUAUAC
rnacentral:rRNA from 1 species